rnacentral:rRNA from 1 species
GUGCCAGCCACCGCGGUUAUACGAAAGACCCAAGUUGAUAGACUCGGCGUAAAGAGUGGUUAUGGGUUAAAUUUAAACUAGAGCUAAAGACCAUCCAAGCCGUUAUACGCAUACGAUGGUUCGAACCACUUCGACGAAAGUAGCUUUACCCUCUCCAACCAGAAUCCACGACAGCUGGGAAACAAACUGGGAUUAGAUACCCCACUAUG